GCAAUGAAGAGCUAAUCUGGCAGCCCUGUUCUGAGCAAUGAAGAGCUAAUCUGGCAGCCCUGUUCUGAGCAAUGAAGAGCUAAUCUGGCAGCCCUGUUCUGAGCAAUGAAGGGCUUAUCUGGCAGCCCUGUUCUGAGCAAUGAAGGGCUAAUCUGGCAGCCCUGUUCUGAGCAAUGAAGAGCUAAUCUGGCAGCCCUGUUCUGAGCAAUGAAGGGCUAAUCUGGCAGCCCUGUUCUGAGCAAUGAAGAGCUAAUCUGGCAGCCCUGUUCUGAGCAAUGAAGAGCUAAUCUGGCAGCCCUGUUCUGAGCAAUGAAGGGCUAAUCUGGCAGCCCUGUUCUGACCAAUGAAGGGCUAAUCUGGCAGCCCUGUUCUGAGCAAUGAAGGGCUUAUCUGGCAGCCCUGUUCUGAGCAAUGAAGGGCUAAUCUGGCAGCCCUGUUCUGAGCAAUGAAGGGCUAAUCUGGCAACCCUGUUCUGAGCAAUGAAGGGCUAAUCUGGCAGCCCUGUUCUGAGCAAUGAAGAGCUAAUCUGGCAGCCCUGUUCUGAGCAAUGAAGGGCUUAUCUGGCAGCCCUGUUCUGAGCAAUGAAGGGCUAAUCUGGCAGCCCUGUUCUGAGCAAUGAAGGGCUAAUCUGGCAGCCCUGUUCUGAGCAAUGAAGGGCUAAUCUGGCAGCCCUGUUCUGAGCAAUGAAGAGCGAAUCUGGCAGCCCUGUUCUGAGCAAUGAAGGGUUAAUGUGGCAGCCCUGUUUUGAGCAAUUUUGAGCUUUUUUAUAUAUUUCUUUACUGCAGAUGACCAUAUAACUGGACAGUACUCUAAGUGUAACAGUACCAGGGAUUGACCAUAUAACUGGACAGUACUCUAAAUGUGAUUGGACCAGGGAUUGACCAUAUAACUGGACAGUACUCUAAGUGUGAUUGGACCAGGGAUUGACCAUAUAACUGGACAAUACUCUGUGUGAUUGGACCAGGGAUUGACCAUAUAACUGGGCAGUACUCUAAGUUUGAUUGGACCAGGGAUUGACCAUAUAACUGGACAGUACUCUAAGUGUAACAGUACCAGGGAUUGACCAUAUAACUGGACAGUACUCUAAGUGUGACAAGACCAGGGAUUGACCAUAUAACUGGACAGUACUCUAAGUGUGACAGGACCAGGGAUUGACCAUAUAACUGGACAAUACUCUGUGUGAUUGGACCAGGGAUUGACCAUAUAACUGGGCAGUACUCUAAGUGUAACAGGACCAGGGAUUGACCAUAUAACUGGACAGUACUCUAAGUGUGAUUGGACCAGGGAUUGACCAUAUAACUGGACAGUACUCUAAGUGUGAUUGGACCAGGGAUUGACCAUAUAACUGGACAGUACUCUAAGUGUGAUUGGACCAGGGAUAGACCAUAUAACUGGACAGUACUCUAAGUGUAAUAGGACCAGGGAUUGACCAUAUAACUGGACAGUACUCUAAGUGUAACAGGACCAGGGAUUGACCAUAUAACUGGACAGUACUCUAAGUGUGACCAUAUAACUGGACAGUACUCUAAGUGUGAUUGGACCAGGGAUUGACCAUAUAACUGGACAGUACUCUAAGUGUGAUGGUACCAGGGAUUCACCAUAGAACUGGACAGUACUCUAAGUGUGACAGGACCAGGGAUUGACCAUAUAACUGGACAGUACUCUAAGUGUAACAGGACCAGGGAUUGACCAUAUAACUGGACAGUACUCUAAGUGUGACCAUAUAACUGGACAGUACUCUAAGUGUGACAGGACCAGGGAUUGACCAUAUAACUGGACAGUACUCUAAGUGUUAUAGGACCAGGGAUUGACCAUAUAACUGGACAGUACUCUAAGUGUGAUUGGACCAGAGAUUGACCAUAUAACUGGACAGUACUCUAAGUGUGACAGGACCAGGGAUUGACCAUAUAACUGGACAGUACUCUAAGUGUAACAGGACCAGGGAUUGACCAUAUAACUGGACAGUACUCUAAGUGUGACUGGACCAGGGAUUGACCAUAUAACUGGACAGUACUCUUAAGUGUGAUAGGACCAGGGAUUGAAUCACCUGAUUCAGAGUGUUAGAUGUUACAUACUCUGAACAUUUUCUUGUCACAGUAAUUCCCUUAUCCAUCUUAAUAACAAUAUGAUCUAUGUGUUCUGACCAUGAUAAAGCUGCAUCCAACAUGACAGCUUGUAGUUUAGUUUUUUUCACUUCCUCUACAUGUAUUCUAUUCAUCGACAAAUUCAAUUGAGGAUCAUCAGCAAGCAUAUAUCUUGAACCAAAUGCAAUACAUUUAGUUUUAGAAAUGUUCAACACCAAUUUUGUUUAUUUCAAUCCACUCAGACACCAUUCUUAGUUCACUGCUCAGUACAUCUGUUAGCUCAUUACAUUCUGAGGCUGCGCUAUACAUUGUAGAGUCAUCAGCAUACAUAAUCACUCCUGCUUUGUUCAUUACUGAAGGUAAAUCAUUAGUAAACAUAGAGAAGUGAGCCUAGGGAAAUUCCUUGAGAAACACCACAGUGUUUUACUGUUUGAAAAGCUACCAUUAAAAAAAACACUUAAGAUAACUUUCCAUCCAGGAUAGAGCUGCAGACUUAAAACCAGGGCCAGCUUUGAUAUUGUAGUUUUCCUAGUGAGUGAGUCCUGAUUGAACGCUCUGUUGGACCUGUGGUAGAUUACCUUAGGGCCAGCCUUUGGCAUUUUAGUUUUCCUAGUGAGUGAGUCCUGAUCGAACCCUUUGUAGGAACUGCGGUAGAUUACGUUAGAGCCAGCCUUUGGUAUUUUUGAAUUUUCCUAGUGAGUACAACCAUGUUAUGAUCACUACAACCUAGUGCCACUGAUACAGCUUAAGAACAACGUUCAGCCAUGUUGGUAAAAAUGUGAUCGAUACAAGAAUGAUGAUGUGAUACCGGACCAAUCAGUGAACAUUCUGUUUGGUGAUGUCAUAACUUGGGUCAGGUUACAUGGCAACAGAAAUACGUUUCUUUCUCAUUGGACAGUUGGUGUUCAAAAAUAUCAAUAUUCAUAUCUCUCCCCCCCCAAUUUUUUUUUUUAUAUUUCCUUAUUUUCAUCAGAUACUUUUAUCCAACAUUUAGCAAAUUACAUCAACAUAUUUCACAUCAACACUAGAUGGCCUAUAGCAGCAACCAACUACUAUAGGUUUUAAAUGUGGUAAAUACACCUGUACCCAAAGUGCCUCUAAUCCAUUCAACAUUAAGUCCUUACGUUGUUUUACUGGAAUAUGAAUCUAGAUGUAAACUGCAAUUCCACACCCCCCCCCAUAUCUAUAUCUGUCCCUCCUGAACAUAUUGUGUCCAUGUAUAAAGAUCUCAGCAUCCUCAAUAGAAGAGUCCAAGUGAGUCUCUGAUAUUGCCAAUACAUUAAUAUUGUUUGACUGCACCAAACAGCAUAUUUCAUGAAUUGUGUUCCUUAAUAAAAACUGCAUAUAUUCAGAGUGAACAAUGAACAGACCUUUCUUUGGUAGAUUUACAGUAUGUAUACAUCCAAACAUGAAUCACCAGUUGGAAUCUGAGAGAGAGAUACUCAGUCAGUAUGUCUCUGUGUGUGUGUGUGUGUGUGUGUGUGUGUGUGUGUGUGUGUGUGUGUGUGUGUGUGUGUGUGUGUGUGUGUGUGUGUGUGUGUGUGUGUGUGUGUGUGUGUGUGUGUGUGUGUGUGUGUGUGUGUGUGUGUGUGUGUGUGUGCUUGCGUGGGGCUGGAAUUACUUGUGACUGUCGCUCCUCCUAACUCCUUGGGAGAGAGGGUGAACAAUCGGUUUGUCGUACCUCAGAUAUGUUAUGUCACCUCGUUCUCUUGCAGCCUUAAUGGCUGAUAUUAGUUCCUUUCUUCUUCUUUGACGGACUGCAUCUGAGAAAUCCUCAUUGACGAAGAUGAAGGACCCAUUAAGGUGUUGACUGGUUAUAGUUAUAGUAGUGGUAGUGACUGGUUAUAGUUAUAGUAGUGGUAGUGACUGGUUAUAGUUAUAGUAGUGGUAGUGUCUGGUUAUAGUAGUGGUAGUGACUGGUUAUAGUAGUGGUAGUGACUGGUUAUAGUAGUGGUAGUGACUGGUUAUAGUAGUGGUAGUGACUGGUUAUAGUAGUGGUAGUGUCUGGUUAUAGUAGUGGUAGUGACUGGUUAUAGUAGUGGUAGUGACUGGUUAUAGUAGUGGUAGUGACUGGUUAUAGUUAUAGUAGUGGUAGUGACUGGUUAUAGUAGUGGUAGUGACUGGUUAUAGUAGUGGUAGUGACUGGUUAUAGUUAUAGUAGUGGUAGUGACUGGUUAUAGUAGUGGUAGUGACUGGUAAUAGUAGUGGUAGUGUCUGGUUAUAGUAGUGGUAGUGACUGGUUAUAGUAGUGGUAGUGACUGGUUAUAGUAGUGGUAGUGACUGGUUAUAGUAGUGGUAGUGACUGGUUAUAGUAGUGGUAGUGACUGGUUAUAGUUAUAGUAGUGGUAGUGUCUGGUUAUAGUAGUGGUAGUGUCUGGUUAUAGUAGUGGUAGUGACUGGUUAUAGUAGUGGUAGUGACUGGUUAUAGUAGUGGUAGUGAAUGGUUAUAGUAGUGGUAGUGUCUGGUUAUAGUAGUGGUAGUGUCUGGUUAUAGUAGUGGUAGUGUCUGGUUAUAGUAGUGGUAGUGACUGGUUAUAGUAGUGGUAGUGUCUGGUUAUAGUAGUGGUAGUGACUGGUUAUAGUAGUGGUAGUGACUGGUUAUAGUAGUGGUAGUGACUGGUUAUAGUAAUGGUAGUGACUGGUUAUAGUAGUGGUAGUGUCUGGUUAUAGUAGUGGUAGUGUCUGGUUAUAGUUAUAGUAGUGGUAGUGACUGGUUAUAGUUAUAGUAGUGGUAGUGUCUGGUUAUAGUAGUGGUAGUGUCUGGUUAUAGUAAUGGUAGUGUCUGGUUAUAGUAGUGGUAGUGACUGGUUAUAGUAGUGGUAGUGACUGGUUAUAGUAGUGGUAGUGACUGGUUAUAGUAGUGGUAGUGUCUGGUUAUAGUAGUGGUAGUGUCUGGUUAUAGUAGUGGUAGUGUCUGGUUAUAGUAGUGGUAGUGACUGGUUAUAGUAGUGGUAGUGUCUGGUUAUAGUAGUGGUAGUGACUGGUUAUAGUAGUGGUAGUGACUGGUUAUAGUAGUGGUAGUGACUGGUUAUAGUAAUGGUAGUGACUGGUUAUAGUAGUGGUAGUGUCUGGUUAUAGUAGUGGUAGUGUCUGGUUAUAGUUAUAGUAGUGGUAGGUACUGGUUAUAGUUAUAGUAGUGGUAGGUACUGGUUAUAGUUAUAGUAGUGGUAGUGUCUGGUUAUAGGAGUGGUAGUGUCUGGUUAUAGUAGUGGUAGUGUCUGGUUAAAGUAGUGGUAGUGGUAGUGUCUGGUUAUAGUAAUGGUGGUGACUGGUUAUAGUAAUGUUAGUGACUGGUUAUAGUAGUGGUAGUGACUGGUUAUAGUAGUGGUAGUGUCUGGUUAUAGUAAUGGUGGUGACUGGUUAUAGUAGUGGUAGUGACUGGUUAUAGUUAUAGUAGUGGUAGUGACUGGUUAUAGUAGUGGUAGUGACUGGUUAUAGUAGUGGUAGUGUCUGGUUAUAGUAAUGGUGGUGACUGGUUAUAGUAGUGGUAGUGACUGGUUAUAGUUAUAGUAGUGGUAGUGACUGGUUAUAGUAGUGGUAGUGACUGGUUAUAGUAGUGACUGGUUAUAGUAGUGGUAGUGACUGGUUAUAGUAGUGGUAGUGUCUGGUUAUAGUAGUGGUAGUGACUGGUUAUAGUAGUGGUAGUGACUGGUUAUAGUAGUGGUAGUGACUGGUUAUAGUAGUGGUAGUGACUGGUUAUAGUAGUGGUAGUGACUGGUUAUAGUUAUAGUAGUGGUAGUGACUGUUUAUAGUAGUGGUAGUGUCUGGUUAUAGUUAUAGUAGUGGUAGUGACUGGUUAUAGUAGUGGUAGUGACUGGUUAUAGUAGUGGUAGUGACUGGUUAUAGUAGUGGUAGUGACUGGUUAUAGUAAUGGUAGUGAUUGGUUAUAGUAGUGGUAGUGACUGGUUAUAGUUAUAGUAGUGGUAGUGACUGGUUAUAGUAGUGGUAGUGUCUGGUUAUUGUAGUGGUAGUGACUGGUUAUAGUAGUGGUAGUGACUGGUUAUAAUAGUGGUAGUGACUGGUUAUAGUAAUGGUAGUGACUGGUUAUAGUAGAGGUAGUGACUGGUUAUAGUUAUAGUAGUGGUGGUGACUGGUUAUAGUAGUGGUAGUGUCUGGUUAUAGUAGUGGUAGUGACUGGUUAUAGUAGUGGUAGUGACUGGUUAUAGUUAUAGUAGUGGUAGUGACUGGUUAUAGUAAUGGUAGUGACUGGUUAUAUUAAUGGUAGUGACUGGUUAUAGUAGUGGUAGUGUCUGGUUAUAGUAGUGGUAGUGUCUGGUUAUAGUAGUGGUAGUGUCUGGUUAUAGUAGUGGUAGUGACUGGUUAUAGUAGUGGUAGUGACUGGUUAUAGUAGUGGUAGUGUCUGGUUAUAGUAGUGGUAGUGACUGGUUAUAGUAGUGGUAGUGACUGGUUAUAGUAGUGGUAGUGACUUGUUAUAGUAGUGGUAGUGUCUGGUUAUAGUAGUGGUAGUGACUGGUUAUAGUAGUGGUAAGGACUGGUUAUAUUUGUGGUAGUGACUGGUUAUAGUUAUAGUAGUGGUAGUGACUGGUUAUAGUAGUGGUAGUGACUGGUUAUAGUAGUGGUAGUGACUGGUUAAAGUAGUGGUAGUGUCUGGUUAUAGUAGUGGUAGUGACUGGUUAUAGUAGUGGUAGUGACGGGUUAUAGUAGUGGUAGUGACUGGUUAUAGUAGUGGUAGUGACUGGUUAUAGUAGUGGUAGUGACUGGUUAUAGUAGUGGUAGUGUCUGGUUAUAGUUAUAGUAGUGGUAGUGACUGGUUAUAGUAGUGGUAGUGACUGGUUAUAGUUAUAGUAGUGGUAGUGACUGGUUAUAGUAGUGGUAGUGUCUGGUUAUAGUUAUAGUAGUGGUAGUGUCUGGUUAUAGUAGUGGUAGUGACUGGUUAUAGUAGUGGUAGUGACUGGUUAUAGUUAUAGUAGUGGUAGUGACUGGUUAUAGUAGUGGUAGUGUCUGGUUAUAGUUAUAGUAGUGGUAGUGUCUGGUUAUAGUAGUGGUAGUGACUGGUUAUAGUAGUGGUAGUGACUGGUUAUAGUAGUGGUAGUGACUGGUUAUAGUAGUGGUAGUGACUGGUUAUAGUUAUAGUAGUGGUAGUGACUGGUUAUAGUAGUGGUAGUGACUGGUUAUAGUUAUAGUAGUGGUAGUGACUGGUUAUAGUUAUAGUAGUGGUAGUGACUGGUUAUAGUUAUAGUAGUGGUAGUGACUGGUUAUAGUAGUGGUAGUGACUGGUUAUAGUAGUGGUAGUGACUGGUUAUAGUAGUGGUAGUGACUGGUUAUAGUAGUGGUAGUGACUGGUUAUAGUAGUGGUAGUGUCUGGUUAUAGUAGUGGUAGUGUCUGGUUAUAGUUAUAGUAAUGGUAGUGACUGGUUAUAGUAGUGUCGGUGACUGGUUAUAGUACUGGUAGUGUCUGGUUAUAGUAGUGGUAGUGUCUGGUUAUAGUAGUGGUAGUGUCUGGUUAUAGUUAUAGUAGUGGUAGUGACUGGUUAUAGUAAUGGUAGUGACUGGUUAUAGUAGUGGUAGUGACUGGUUAUAGUAGUGUUAGUGUCUGGUUAUAGUAGUGGUAGUGACUGGUUAUAGUUAUAGUAAUGGUAGUGACUGGUUAUAGUAGUGGUAUUGUCUGGUUAUAGUUAUUGUAGUGGUAGUGUCUGGUUAUAGUAGUGGUAGUGUCUGGUUAUAGUUAUAGUAGUGAUAGUGACUGGUUAUAGUAGUGGUAGUGUCUGGUUAUAGUUAUAGUAGUGGUAGUGACUGGUUAUAGUAGUGGUAGUGACUGGUUAUAGUAGUGGUAGUGACUGGUUAUAGUAGUGGUAAUGACUGGUUAUAGUAAUGGUAGUGACUGGUUAUAGUAGUGGUAGUGACUGGUUAUAGUAGUGGUAGUGACUGGUUAUAGUAGUGGUAGUGACUGGUUAUAGUAGUGGUAGUGACUGGUUAUAGUAGUGGUAGUGACUGGUUAUAGUAGUGGUAGUGUCUGGUUAUAGUAGUGGUAGUGACUGGUUAUAGUAGUGGUAGUGACUGGUUAUAGUAGUGGUAGUGUCUGGUUAUAGUAGUGGUAGUGACUGGUUAUAGUAGUGGUAGUGACUGGUUAUAGUAGUGGUAGUGACUGGUUAUAGUAGUGACUGGUUAUAGUAGUGGUAGUGACUGGUUAUAGUAGUGGUAAUGACUGGUUAUAGUAAUGGUAGUGACUGGUUAUAGUAGUGGUAGUGACUGGUUAUAGUUAUAGUAGUGGUAAUGACUGGUUAUAGUUAUAGUAGUGGUAGUGACUGGUUAUAGUAGUGGUAGUGACUGGUUAUAGUAGUGACUGGUUAUAGUAGUGGUAGUGACUGGUUAUAGUAGUGACUGGUUAUAGUAGUGGUAGUGACUGGUUAUAGUAGUGGUAGUGACUGGUUAUAGUAGUGGUAAUGACUGGUUAUAGUAAUGGUAGUGACUGGUUAUAGUUAUAGUAGUGGUAGUGACUGGUUAUAGUAGUGGUAGUGACUGUUUAUAGUAGUGGUAGUGACUGGUUAUAGUUAUAGUAGUGGUAGUGUCUGGUUAUAGUAAUGGUAGUGACUGGUUAUAGUUAUAGUAGUGGUAGUGACUGGUUAUAGUAGUGGUAGUGACUGUUUAUAGUAGUGGUAGUGACUGGUUAUAGUUAUAGUAGUGGUAGUGACUGGUUAUAGUAGUGGUAGUGACUGGUUAUAGUAGUGGUAAUGACUGGUUAUAGUAAUGGUAGUGACUGGUUAUAGUUAUAGUAGUGGGAGUGACUGGUUAUAGUAGUGGUAGUGACUGGUUAUAGUAGUGGUAGUGACUGGUUAUAGUAAUGGUAGUGACUGGUUAUAGUUAUAGUAGUGGGAGUGACUGGUUAUAGUAGUGGUAGUGACUGGUUAUAGUAGUGGUAGUGUCUGGUUAUAGUAGUGGUAGUGACUGGUUAUAGUUGUGGUAGUGACUGGUUAUAGUAGUGGUAGUGUCUGGUUAUAGUAGUGGUAGUGUCUGGUUAUAGUAGUGGUAGUGACUGGUUAUAGUAGUGGUAGUGACUGGUUAUAGUAGUGGUAGUGUCUGGUUAUAGUAAUGGUAGUGACUGGUUAUAGUUAUAGUAGUGGUAGUGAAUGGCUAUUGUAGUGGUAGUGUCUAAAGUAGUAAUGGUAAUGACUCAAGACAUGUAUAGAUGUCCGAUUUCGAAGUCACUCUUGAGCGAUCUGCCUGGUGUGUGUGUGUGUGUGUUCUCUGAUUAACACUGUAUUGUUGGUUGUUGUCUCCGAAAAAUGUAUAAAAACUACAUAAAGAAAUAUUUCAGUCAACACACACACACACACCCACA
rnacentral:lncRNA from 1 species